AGGACGAACGCUGGCGGCAGGCUUAACACAUGCAAGUCGAACGCGUGUAGCAAUACACGAGUGGCGCACGGGUGAGUAACGCGUGGAUAUCUGCCUUUUGGUUCGGAAUAACCCCGGGAAACUGGGGCUAAAUACCGGAUGGUUCCUACGGGAUAAAGAUUUAUCGCCAAAAGAUGAGUCCGCGUACGAUUAGCUAGUUGGUGAGGUAAUGGCUCACCAAGGCGACGAUCGUUAGCUGGUCUGAGAGGACGAUCAGCCACACUGGGACUGAGACACGGCCCAGACUCCUACGGGAGGCAGCAGUGGGGAAUAUUGGACAAUGGGGGCAACCCUGAUCCAGCCAUGCCGCGUGAGUGAUGAAGGCCUUCGGGUUGUAAAGCUCUUUUGGCGGGGACGAUGAUGACGGUACCCGCAGAAUAAGCCCCGGCUAACUUCGUGCCAGCAGCCGC
rnacentral:rRNA from 1 species